rnacentral:rRNA from 1 species
UACGUGGGGAGCAAGCGUUGUUCGGAUUUACUGGGCGUAAAGGGCGCGUAGGCGGCCACCGCAAGUCGACUGUGAAAUCUCCGGGCUUAACCCGGAAAGGUCAGCCGAUACUGCGGGGCUAGAGUGCAGAAGGGGCAACUGGAAUUCUCGGAGUAGCGGUGAAAUGCGUAGAUAUCGAGAGGAACACCUGCGGCGAAGGCGGGUUGCUGGGCUGACACUGACGCUGAUGCGCGAAAGCUAGGGGAGCGAACGGG